AUGGUGAUUCUCAAGUUUCUCUGCGUCGUCCCCAGGCAGUACAAGCAACUGGCCUGGUCCAUCGAGAGCUUGGUGGAUCUCUCCACCAUGACGAUCGAGGAGCUGGUAGGGCGACUCAAGGUCGUCGAGGAGCGCGGCGACGAAGCCGACAACCGUGCUGGCGGCAAACUACUGCUCACCAGGGAGCAGUGGGACGCGCAACUUCAGCAGCGCGGCCGCGACGGCUCUUCCAACAGUGGGGGAGGCGCCCCCACGGGAAGCAGAGGUCACGGCAGAGGCGGAGGCCGCGCCCAAAGCGGCGUCGGCAACCGCGAUCGCAAGCCAAGCCUGGCAGGGCGAGGCACUGGCAACGGUGGCAAGUGCCGGUACUGCAACAUGCCGGGUCACUGGAUCCGGGAUUGCCGCAGGAGGAAAGCCGACGAGGCAGCCGCGACAACGACAAACCUCGUCCAGGCUGACAUGGACGGCGGGCCGACAAUGAUGCUGGCAAGAGUCGAGCCCAUGCAGGAGAGCACGCCGUCUCUCGUGACCACGGCUCCGAGAACCACCCAUUCCGUGCAGGAGGCACGGAACCCGUCCACGGGAACCAUCACUCCAGUGACAGGCCACACCUCGACAACGACGUUUUCGGGGCCUGUCGACUGGGAGGCGAUGAAGGCUCGGGUGUGGGGGAGCCACACCCCGACGACAGCGUCCCUGAACUCGGGACCCGAUGAGAUCGUGCAAGUUGGCGCGGCAACGACGCAUAUGGCGGACCAUGCUCCGACCAUGAUGCUGGCGACCAUCGACUCCGUGCAGGAGCGCACGGAGCCUCAGGUCAGCCACACCCCGACAACAAAGUGUUCGGGGUCCACCGUGUUGACGGGAGAUGGCUCCCUGACAACGGCAUGUGCGUGCGGCUACGUCUUCCUCAACGAGGAGAGAGCCGUGACCACACCCACGCUUGCAGGCGGCAAGCAAAGUGAGGGUUGGUUCCUCGACACCGGCGCCACGAACCACAUGACUGGUUCGGUCGACGCGUUCGCGAAGCUGGACUGCUCAAUCACCGGGAAGGUGCGGUUCGCGGACGGAUCCGUGGUGGAGAUCCACGGGCGCGGGACCGUCGUCUUCGCCGACAAAGGGGGUGAUCACAGGGCGUUCACGGACGUCUACUUCAUCCCGGCGCUCAAGAGCAGCGUCGUGAGUGUCGGACAGCUCGACAAGGGCUGGUUCGACAUCGGCAUCCGGCGCGGUGUUCUCACCGUGCGCGACCAGCAGAAGAGGCUGCUUAUCGAGGUAACCCGUUCGCCAAACCGCCUCUAUAAAUUCUUCUUUCAACCCGUGCAUCCUGUGUGCCUUGCCAUGGGUCAUGUCUCCGACGCGUGGCGUUGGCAUGCCAGGCUAGGAUACCAGCACUUUGACGGGUUACGGAAGAUGGCACGAGGUAACCUUGUUCAUGGGCUACCUCGCAUCAAGCACGCCGACGAGUUGUGCGAUGCAUGUCUUGCCGAGAAGCAGCGGCGCCUGCCCUUUCCCGAGAAGGCACGCUAUCGGGCGCAGAAACCCAUGGAGCUGGUUCACGGGGACCUCUGCGGCCCAAUCACCCCGAGAACGCCAGGAGGGCGUCGCUACAUCCUGCUGCUCGUCGACGACUACAGCAGGUUCAUGUGGGUGCUGCUCCUCGCCUCCAAGGAUGAGGCAGAGCGAGCCAUCGUCAAGCAGCAAGCGACAGCAGAGGUCGAGUGUGGCCACAAGCUGCGCGUGUUACGCACGGACCGUGGCGGCGAGUUCACGUCGGCCACGUUCUACAGGCACUGCGACAAGAAAGGGGUGCAACGUCACCUCACAGCCCCUUACUCGCCGUAG
rnacentral:rRNA from 1 species